UACGAAGGGGGCUAGCGUUGCUCGGAAUUACUGGGCGUAAAGGGAGCGUAGGCGGAUAGUUUAGUCAGAGGUGAAAGCCCAGGGCUCAACCCUGGAAUUGCCUUUGAUACUGGCUAUCUUGAGUGUGGGAGAGGUUAGCGGAACUCCGAGUGUAGAGGUGAAAUUCGUAGAUAUUCGGAAGAACGCCAGUGGCGAAGGCGGCUAACUGGCCCAUUACUGACGCUGAGGCUCGAAAGCGUGGGGAGCAAACAGG
rnacentral:rRNA from 1 species